rnacentral:rRNA from 1 species
GCGGAGGAAAAGAAACCAACCGGGAUUGCCUCAGUAACGGCGAGUGAAGCGGCAAGAGCUCAAAUUUGAAAGCUGGCUCCUUCGGGGUCCGCAUUGUAAUUUGCAGAGGAUGCUUCGGGUGCGGCCCCUGUCUAAGUGCCCUGGAACGGGCUGUCAGAGAGGGUGAGAAUCCCGUCUGGGAUGGGGUGUCCGCGCCCGUGUGAAGCUCCUUCGACGAGUCGAGUUGUUUGGGAAUGCAGCUCUAAAUGGGUGGUAAAUUUCAUCUAAAGCUAAAUAUUGGCCGGAGACCGAUAGCGCACAAGUAGAGUGAUCGAAAGAUGAAAAGCACUUUGAAAAGAGAGUUAAACAGCACGUGAAAUUGUUGAAAGGGAAGCGCUUGCGACCAGACUCGCCCGCGGGGUUCAGCCGGCAUUCGUGCCGGUGUACUUCCCCGUGGGCGGGCCAGCGUCGGUUUGGGCGGCCGGUCAGCGGCUCCCGGAAUGUAGCGCCUCUCGGGGCGCCUUAUAGCCGGGGGUGCAGUGCGGCCAGCCUGGACCGAGGAACGCGCUUCGGCACGGACGCUGGCAUAAUGGUCGUAAACGACCCGUCUUGAAACACGGACCAAGGAGUCUAACAUCUACGCGAGUGUUCGGGUGUCAAACCCGUGCGCGCAGUGAAAGCGAACGGAGGUGGGAGCCCCCUGAGGGGCGCACCAUCGACCGAUCCUGAUGUCUUCGGAUGGAUUUGAGUAUGAGCGUAGCUGUGGGGACCCGAAAGAUGGUGAACUAUGCCUGAAUAGGGCGAAGCCAGAGGAAACUCUGGUGGAGGCUCGCAGC